rnacentral:rRNA from 1 species
UACGAAGGGGGCUAGCGUUGCUCGGAAUCACUGGGCGUAAAGGGUGCGUAGGCGGGUCUUUAAGUCAGGGGUGAAAUCCUGGAGCUCAACUCCAGAACUGCCUUUGAUACUGAGGAUCUUGAGUUCGGGAGAGGUGAGUGGAACUGCGAGUGUAGAGGUGAAAUUCGUAGAUAUUCGCAAGAACACCAGUGGCGAAGGCGGCUUCCUGGCCUGUAACUGACGCUGAGACGCGAAAGCGUGGGGAGCGAACCGG